rnacentral:rRNA from 1 species
AAAUAAGUAAAUUAACGUAUAUAGUGGAUGCCUUGGCAAUCAGAGGCUAUGAAGGACGUGCUAAUCUGCGAAAAGUAUCGGCUAGUUGAUAAGAAACGUAACCGGUAAUAUCCGAAUGGGGUAACCUAAAUAAUAGUAAUAUUAUUUAUUAUUAAGUGAAUAAAAUAGCUUAAUAAAGCUAACCAAGAAAACUGAAACAUCUUAGUAUCUUGAGGAAAAGAAAUCAAAUAGAGAUUCCCUUAGUAGUGGUGAGCGAAAAGGGAUUAGUCAAUAGAUUUUAGAAUUAAUAAAAUAUUAUAAGAAUGAUAUUGGAAAAAUCAGCGAAACAAGGUGAUAGCCCUGUAUUUUAAAGUAUUUUAUUAAUAAUCUAUAAGUAGAUCGAGAAAUGUUAUCUUGAUUGAAUAUAGGGGAACCAUCCUCUAAGACUAAAUACUACUGAUUGACCGAUAGUGAACUAGUACCGUGAGGGAAAGGUGAAAAGAACCCCGGAUAGGGGAGUGAAAUAGAUCCUGAAACUGUAUACGUACAAGCAGUAGGAGCAUGAAGUAAAAUUGUGUGACUGCGUACCUUUUGUAUAAUGGGUCAGCGACUUAUAUUUUGUAGCAAGGUUAACUUUAAUAGGAAGCCGUAGGGAAACCGAGUCUUAAAAGGGCGUUUUAGUUGCAAGGUAUAGACCCGAAACCCGGUGAUCUAACUAUGGACAGGUUGAAGAUUAGGUAAUACUAAUUGGAGGACCGAACUGACUAAUGUUGAAAAAUUAGCGGAUGAUCUGUGGUUAGGGGUGAAAGGCCAAUCAAACCGGGAGAUAGCUGGUUCUCCUCGAAAGCUAUUUAGGUAGCGCCUCAUAAAUUAUUUUUUGGGGGUAGAGCACUGUUUCAAUUAGGGACUUUUAGUUACCAAUUUGAUGCAAACUACGAAUACCAUAAAAUUUAUUAUGGGAGACACACUACGAGCGAUAAUGUUCGUUGUGGAAAGGGAAACAACCCAGACCGAAAGCUAAGGUCCCAAAAUUAUGAUUAAGUGGUGAACGAAGUAAAAUUUCUUAAACAACUAGGAUGUUGGCUUAGAAGCAGCCAUCAUUUAAAGAAAGCGUAAUAGCUCACUAGUCUAGUUAUUUUGCGCGGAAGAUUUACGGGGCUAAAAUCAUAUACCGAAGCUUCGGCAAUUAAUUAUUUGUAAUUAAUUGGGUAGAGGAGCGUUCUGUAAGUCUGUGAAGAUAUAUUGUGAAAUAUGUUGGAGAUAUCAGAAGUGCGAAUGCUGACAUGAGUAACGAUAAAACGAGUGAAAAACUCGUUCGCCGAAAAACUAAGGGUUCCUAUCCAACGUUAAUCGAGGUAGGGUAAGUCGAUCCUAAGAUGAGGUCGAAAGGCGUAGUCGAUGGAUAACAGGUUAAUAUUCCUGUACUAAUUAAAUUUUAUUUAAAAAAACGAAGGAAGCUAGAUUUGCUAAGUGAUGGUUAUCUUAGUUUAAGUGUGUGGAUAUAAUUAAAAUUAUAUUAAGGCAUGAUGAUUAAUUAUUUAUAAUAAUUAAAAAAUUGACGCUAAACUUCCUAGAAAAAAUUUUUAAAUCAUAAAAUUUAAUUAAUCGUACCAUAAACCGACACAGGUGGUUAGGUAGAGAAUACUAAGGCGUUUGAGAGAACUCGGGUAAAGGAACUAGGCAAAAUAAUGUCGUAACUUCGGGAUAAGACAUACUAAUUAUGAAUGAAAAAAAUUAUAUUUUAUAACUUUUUAGUAGUUUAAAUUAGUCUAAGAUAACGGCUGGCUGCAACUGUUUAUUAAAAACACAGCACUGUGCUAACAUGAAAAUGGAUGUAUACAGUGUGACGCCUGCCCGGUGCCGGAAGGUUAAUUGAUUAAGUUAUUUUAUUUAAAAAAAGCUUUUGAUAGAAGCCCCGGUAAACGGCGGCCGUAACUAUAACGGUCCUAAGGUAGCGAAAUUCCUUGUCGGGUAAGUUCCGACCUGCACGAAUGGCGUAAUGAUGGCCAGACUGUCUCUACCCGAGACUCAGUGAAAUUGAAAUUGCUGUGAAGAUGCAGUAUACCUGCGGCAAGACGGAAAGACCCCGUGAACCUUUACUAUAGCUUGAUAUUGUUUAUUUAAAUCUAAUGUGUAGAAUAAGUGGGAGAAUAUUAUUUACCAAAAGUAUGUUUUAUUCAUCAGUGAAAUACCACUCUUUAUUUUUAAAUAAACUAACUUUAAUCCGUUAUCCGGAUUUAGGACAAUGUCUGGUGGGUAGUUUGACUGGGGCGGUCUCCUCCUAAAAAGUAACGGAGGAGUACAAAGGUUAGCUAAUUACGGUUGGAAAUCGUAAGGUUAGUACAAAGGCAUAAGCUAGCUUAACUGUAAGAAUGACAGUUCGAACAGAUGCGAAAGCAGGUCUUAGUGAUCCGAUGGUUCUUUAUGGUAUGGCCAUCGCUCAACGGAUAAAAGGUACUCCGGGGAUAACAGGCUAAUAUCGCCCAAGAGUUCAUAUCGACGGCGGUGUUUGGCACCUCGAUGUCGGCUCAUCACAUCCUGGGGCUGAAGAAGGUCCCAAGGGUAUGGCUGUUCGCCAUUUAAAGUGGUACGCGAGCUGGGUUUAGAACGUCGUGAGACAGUUCGGUCCCUAUCUGCCGUAGGCGUUUGGAAGAUUGAAAGGAACUGCUCCUAGUACGAGAGGACCGGAGUGGACAUACCUAUUGUGUUCGGGUUGUCAUGCCAAUGGCAUUGCCCGGUAGCUACGUAUGGAAAAGAUAACUACUGAAAGCAUAUAAGUGGGAAACUUACCUUAAGAUUAAUCUUCCCAGUAAUAUUAAAAUAUUACCUAAAGGGACGUUAAAGACUAUGACGUUGAUAGGUCAGAUGUAUAAGCAUUGCGAAAUGUUGAGCUAACUGAUACUAAUAUCCCGUGAGUCUUAUUUUA